rnacentral:rRNA from 1 species
CCUACGGGAGGCAGCAGUGAGGAAUAUUGGUCAAUGGCCGGAAGGCUGAACCAGCCAUGCCGCGUGAAGGUCAGUGCCCUAUGGGCGUUAAACUUCUUUUGUGCGGGAACAAUAAUGGUCACGUGUGGCCAGACGAGAGUACCGUACGAAUAAGCAUCGGCUAACUCCGUGCCAGCAGCCGCGGUAAUACGGGGGAUGCAAGCGUUAUCCGGAUUUGUUGGGGUUACAGGGUGCGUAGGCUGUGAGGGAAGUCAGCGGGGAAAUGCCCCCGCUCAACGGGGUGAAGUGCCAUUGAUACGGCCUUGCUUGAAUGCGGAUGCCGUGGGAGGAAUGUGUGGUGUAGCGGUGAAAUGCAUAGAUAUCACACAGAACACCGAUUGCGAAGGCAUCUCACGAAUCCGCGAUUGACGCUGAUGCACGAAAGCGUGGGUAUCAAACAGGAUUAGAUACCCGGGUAGUC